rnacentral:lncRNA from 1 species
AUGGAAAAGCACAAACUCACUGGCAGCUUCUUCAUUUGCUUCUUCUUUUUUCUUCUUUGUUUUCUUCUUCUUUUCUUCUUCUUCUCAUGGCAGAGCUCAUCUCCUCCCAUUUCCUUGGGAGACCCGGCUCUGCUCUUCAUAAAAAGCACAAAGUCACUGGCAGCUUUUUCUUCUUCUUCCUUCUUCUUUUCAUUUUCUUCUUCUUCUCAUGGCAGAGCUCCUCUCUUCCCAUCUCCUUUGGAGGCCUGGCUCUGCUCUCCACGGAAAAGCACAAAGUCACUGGCAGCUUCUUCAUUUUCUUCUUCUUUCUUCUCCUUUUUUCUUCUUCUUUCUCAUUUUCUCCUUCUUCUCAAGGCAGAGCUCCUCUAUUCCCAUUUCCUUUGGAGGCCUGGCUCUGCUCUCCAUGGAAAAGCACAAAAGCUGACAAAGUGGCAGCUUCUUCAUUUGCUUCUUCUCUCCCAUCCCCAGCAAUGAUCCCACACCUAAGUGCUUUUUCCCACUGAAGGAUUGUGUCCUUAAAAAUGCCAAAAUGCUGAAGCCCUUUCUUAUUAAAGCUCCUGGGCCAGAAAAGGCGAGGAGAGGGAAAGAUAAGGAAGGAUGAAACACUGUUCACCCUUUAGAGUUUGGGAAGUUUAUGUGGGAAAACUGAAAAUGCAAACUUCACUGCUCCUGAAGACAUCAUUGGGACAAAGCUCUCCCAGUUUAUUUGUUCUGUCAUUUUAAUGUGAAAAACCCCAAAAUGAGCCCCUGUGUCCAUCAGAUUCGUCACUGCAGACCAAGAGCAUCCUGCUCAAGGAUUCUGCAUCUCAGCUGCACUGACUCCAGCCUGUAUCCAGUGGCACUUUUCCAGCUUCCAAAGGCACUACAACACGAUACCAACCACCCCUUUCAGUUCUUUAAUUAGUGGUAUGGUGAUGGUUUCAGAUCAGACACACCAGGAAUUAAAAAGCAGCCGCCACACCUUGAGUUUCAGAAAAGGUUCUGGCACAAAGCUUCUCUGGGUUUACAAACUCAGCUUCCUGACACACCUGCA